AGAGUUUGAUCAUGGCUCAGAAUCAACGCUGGCGGCGUGCCUAACACAUGCAAGUCGAACGCGAAAGGGGCUUCGGCCCUGAGUAGAGUGGCGAACGGGUGAGUAACACGUGGGUGAUCUACCUCUGAGUGGGGGAUAACGUUCCGAAAGGAACGCUAAUACCGCAUGACGUGCCGGGUUUGAAGACCUGGACACCAAAGUCGGGGACCGCAAGGCCUGACGCUUGGAGAGGAACCCGCGCCUGAUUAGCUAGUUGGUGAGGUUACGGCUCACCAAGGCAACGAUCAGUAGCCGGCCUGAGAGGGCGGACGGCCACACUGGGACUGAGACACGGCCCAGACUCCUACGGGAGGCAGCAGUGGGGAAUUGUUCGCAAUGGGCGCAAGCCUGACGACGCAACGCCGCGUGGAGGAUGAAGGUCUUCGGAUUGUAAACUCCUGUUGACGGGGAAGAAUGGACUCUGGCCUAACACGUCGGGGUAAUGACGGUACCCGCUGAGAGC
rnacentral:rRNA from 1 species